rnacentral:rRNA from 1 species
UACGGAGGGUGCGAGCGUUGUUCGGAAUCACUGGGCGUAAAGCGCGUGUAGGCGGCCCACUAAGUCUGAUGUGAAAGCCCGGGGCUCACCCCCGGAAGUGCAUUGGAAACUGGUGGACUCGAGUCCCGGAGAGGAGAGUGGAAUUCCUGGUGUAGCGGUGAAAUGCGUAGAUAUCAGGAGGAAUACCGGUGGCGAAAGCGACUCUCUGGACGGCAACUGACGCUGAGGCACGAAAGCGUGGGGAGCAAACAGG